rnacentral:rRNA from 1 species
UACGAAGGGGGCUAGCGUUGCUCGGAAUUACUGGGCGUAAAGCGCACGUAGGCGGCUUCUUAAGUCGGUGGUGAAAUCCUGGAGCUCAACUCCAGAACUGCCUUCGAUACUGGGAAGCUCGAGUCCGGGAGAGGUGAGUGGAACUGCGAGUGUAGAGGUGAAAUUCGUAGAUGUUCGCAAGAACACCAGUGGCGAAGGCGGCUCACUGGCCCGGUACUGACGCUGAGGUGCGAAAGCGUGGGGAGCAAACAGG